rnacentral:rRNA from 1 species
UUUCCGGUUGAUCCCGCCGGACCUGACUGCUAUCGGAUUGAUACUAAGCCAUGCGAGUCUUUGCAGUAAUGCAAGGCAUACGGCUCAGUAACACGUAGUCAACUUACCCUAUGGACGAGGAUAAUCUCGGGAAACUGAGCAUAAUACUCGAUAGAUCAUAAUGCCUGGAAUGGUUUAUGGUUAAAAUGAUUCGUCGCCAUAGGAUGGGACUGCGGCCUAUCAGCUUGUUGGUGAGGUAAUGGCCCACCAAGGCGAUUACAGGUACGGGCUCUGAGAGGAGAAGCCCGGAGAUGGGUACUGAGACAAGGACCCAGGCCCUAUGGGGCGCAGCAGGCGAGAAAACUUUGCAAUGUGCGAAAGCACGACAAGGUUAAUCCGAGUGAUUUCUGCUAAAGAAAUCUUUUGCAAGUCAUAAAACCACUAGUGAAUAAGGGGUGGGCAAGUUCUGGUGUCAGCCGCCGCGGUAAAACCAGCACCUCAAGUGGUCAGGAGGAUUAUUGGGCCUAAAGCAUCCGUAGCCGGCUCUGUAAGUUUUCGGUUAAAUCCAUGUGCUCAACGCAUGGGCUGCCGAAAAUACUGCAUAGCUAGGGAGUGGGAGAGGUAGACGGUACUCGGUAGGAAGGGGUAAAAUCCUUUGAUCUAUCGAUGACCACCUGUGGCGAAGGCGGUCUACCAGAACACGUUCGACGGUGAGGGAUGAAAGCUGGGGGAGCAAACCGGAUUAGAUACCCGGGUAGUCCCAGCUGUAAACGAUGCAGACUCGAUGAUGCAUUGGCAUAUAGCCAGUGCAGUGUCGCAGGGAAGCCGUUAAGUCUGCCGCCUGGGAAGUACGUACGCAAGUAUGAAACUUAAAGGAAUUGGCGGGGGAGCACCACAAGGGGUGAAGCCUGCGGUUCAAUUGGAGUCAACGCCGGGA